rnacentral:rRNA from 1 species
UACGGAGGGAGCUAGCGUUGUUCGGAAUUACUGGGCGUAAAGCGCACGUAGGCGGCUAUUCAAGUCAGAGGUGAAAAGCCCGGGGCUCAACCCCGGAACUGCCUUUGAAACUAGGUAGCUAGAAUCUUGGAGAGGUCAGUGGAAUUCCGAGUGUAGAGGUGAAAAUUCGUAGAUAUUCGGAAGAACACCAGUGGCGAAAGGCGACU